UGAGCGGCGGCGUGGACGCGGCCGCUCUCACCGGCCCGAAGAAGCUGUUCGGGGCGGCCCGGCUCGCC
rnacentral:tRNA from 1 species